GGGGAAUUUUCCGCAAUGGGCGAAAGCCUGACGGAGCAAGACCGCGUGAGGGAGGAAGGCCUUUGGGUUGUAAACCUCUUUUGUCAGGGAAGAACAUCUGACGGUACCUGACGAAUCAGCCUCGGCUAACUCCGUGCCAGCAGCCGCGGUAAUACGGAGGAGGCAAGCGUUAUCCGGAAUCAUUGGGCGUAAAGCGUCCGUAGGUGGCGAAGUAAGUCUGCUGUCAAAGACCACAGCUUAACUGUGGAAAGGCAGUGGAAACUGCGGCGCUAGAGUGCGGUAGGGGUAGAGGGAAUUCCAGGUGUAGCGGUGAAAUGCGUAGAGCUCUGGAAGAACACCGGUGGCGAAAGCGCUCUACUGGGCCGUAACUGACACUGAGGGACGAAAGCUAGGGGAGCGAAAGGGAUUAGAUACCCCUGUAGUCA
rnacentral:rRNA from 1 species